UGGCGGGCGGGUGAGUAAUGUCUGGGAAACUGCCUGAUGGAGGGGGAUAACUACUGGAAACGGUAGCUAAUACCGCAUAACGUCGCAAGACCAAAGAGGGGGACCUUCGGGCCUCUUGCCAUCGGAUGUGCCCAGAUGGGAUUAGCUAGUAGGUGGGGUAACGGCUCACCUAGGCGACGAUCCCUAGCUGGUCUGAGAGGAUGACCAGCCACACUGGAACUGAGACACGGUCCAG
rnacentral:rRNA from 1 species